AGUAUUCUGCUCGUAGCCUUCAGAUGAAGAUGUAGAACUCUAAGUUCCUCCUGCACCAUGCCUGCCUGGAUGCUGCCAUGCUCCCACCUUGAUAAUAAUGGACUGAACCUCUGAACCUUUCAGAUCAAGCCAAAAAAUCUACUCCUGCAAGUAUCCUGUCUGCCCCAGAAGGGCCAGCAUUAGCUGAUAAUCUACCUGCUCCGUGACCUGGAAUUAAGUGUACACUGAAAAGGGACACACUUUCCCUCUCUUAACUACUCCACAGCAUCGUUUCUUCUGUUCAGGACCAGAACAUUUCUGCUGCCUGUUUGCCAAGAAGAGCUUUCUCUCAGCAACUUCCCUCAGGGGAGAGGCUGAAAUGAAACCUGUGGAUCUCUGUGUACAAACAUCGAGGCCCAAGAGAGAAUUUUGACGUCUAUCUCUUCUGAGCUUAGCAGUCCUGCACUUCUGAUUUGUCUGUGUAAAACUGAAUUUCUCUAAAAAUUUCUAGAUGCAUUAUUGUUAUUUCUAUGCAGAAAAAGGAGGACAAGAAGCCUACAGCCUAUUCAAUUUCAUGAUCUAUACUGAGAGGAAAAUGACUGAGAUGAGUUUAUCUUAUCUUGAGGCAGUGGUUCUCAGCCUUCCUAAUGCUGCCAGCCUUCAGUACAGCUCCUCACGCUGUGGUGACCUCCAACCAUAGAAUUAACUCAUGGCUACUUCAUAGCUGUAAUAAUUUUGCUACGGUUGUGAAUCAUAAUGUAAAUAUCUGGUGUGCAGGAUGUCUGGUUUGUGACCCCUGUGAAAGGGUCCUGUGAUCCCAAGGUUAGUCCUGACCCACAGGUUGGGAGCCACUGUCUUAGGGUUUGGGCAGAAGCCUUUCUGGAUAUGAGGUCUCAACUAAGAUGUAUUGUCUCGGUCCAUCUGGAAAUCCGUGAUGGUGGCCAUCGCUUCUGUGUCUUAGCUCAGCUAGUGCUCUGGGCUGCUCUGUGGCACACUGUCUUUGCUUUGACAAGGACUUACUACUCUUGGAUAUAUUAUUUGUUAACUCAUCUCAAGUGUAAGUGGUCUUUUGCUCAGAGAAAGUAUCAGGCCCCUCUGGCAACCAUUCUACCCUGACCUACACUUGUAUUUCUGUCUGUCAUCAUUUUCUUUCACCCGGAGUAAAUGUCGCACAGGCAUGUUGGCGAUGACCAGUUCUCUCAAGUCUGAAGUCUCUUACUUUCUCCUCUACGUUGGAAGAAGACAAUUCGAUGCUGAGAGUUGUUUCCUUGAACACUUUAUAAAGCUGAUGUGCCAUUGUCUUCCAGCUGGCCUCGUAUCAAGUGAUGUCCUAGUAACUAAAGCAAAUUAUUUGUCUAUGCCUCAGAAGGUGCUAUGGACACUGAUAGAAGCAGCACUUGCUAUUGACCUCUGCCCUCCACUCCCAAGUGCACACAUGCACUCAUACCUACCUACUCAAACAGCCGAACACACAAAAGGAGUGUAUUUCAUGUCUUUGAGGAACUCAAUCUGUAUUUUCUAGUAUAUAAUUAGAUAGGGGCUGACAAGAACAUUUGAGUUUUAGUCUGUUCUGGUGGGACAUGUCAACUGAGAAUGAUUUUUAGAUUUCUUUCUUUCUACUGUAUGUGGUGUGUGUGUGUGUGUGUGUGUGUGUGUGUGUGUGUGUGUGUGUGCGCGCGCGCGCGCGUGUGUGUGCGUGUGUGUAUGAAUGCAUGUAGAAUCCAGAGGUCAGUUGCAGGGUGUCUUCAUUAAUCCCUUUCCACUUUACUUUUGAGACAAGGUUUGUUCUCGAGCCUGAAACUUACUAAUUUGGCUAGACUGGCUGGCCAGCAAGCUCCAAGGCUCUGGCCACCUCUGUCUUCCCAGCGCUGGGAUUACAGGUGAUGCACAGCUGUUGUGCCUGGCUUUUUGUAUGGGUUGCAGGGGAUUCCAACUCAGGACCUCACACUUGUGUGGCAGCCUCUUUACUGGCUGAGCCACGCCAUCAGCCCCCAUGGUUUCAUAUUUUUUUUAAAAGGUUGCCAUCCUCCCCAAACCAAAACAAUGGAAGGAAAAGAACCCAAGGUAGAGAUCAGAUGCUUCCUACAGAGCCUAUGUUGUUUGCUUUUUACAAGACAGGUGGUUGACCCGGACACUAAAGACGGGAGCUCUAGGGAGGCCUCAGCAUGGUAGAACUGUGACUCUGAGCGCUUAUUUCUCUCCUGGCUUGGGUUUAAAGGAAGUGAGACAGAGAGCACAGCCCACUUUAACCUGCAGAGAGCCUUCUCAUACACAGAGAUGCAGAGGCCAUUGUGUGCACCAUGAUGGAUGGAGAACAGCUUUCCUCUGUGCAGGUCGGCUUGGGAGCAUGGAUUGUCUUCCCUGGGGGUGUGCUUGACAGUGGACCAUUUCCCCAGUGGAGAAAAGCAAGGCAGUGUGGAGCCAUCUCUGCUAAGGCAGAGGGUGGGACCAACAUACUCAAAGAAGCAGUUUCUUCUCUUCUUUCUCUGCCACGUGUCCACUGGACAAGACCUGCAUUAUGGAGACGCCAGCAUGUGCCUGCCAUUUUCCUGCUGGGUGAUCCUUGACUCUUCUCCCAGCCCUUUCCCCAUGGUGGCAUGUUUUAUGUUAGGUAUUGGUCAUGAACAGUCCAUUCAUUAUCUGCCUGGCUUUCAGACUGUCUGUCAGCCUUCCUAUGGCAAUAAAUAAGUGCCGAGGAUCUCUGGAGAUCGAAAGUCUUCUCCUUUUGUGUAAUGGUCUGGUGAAAAGGGGGUAAAAUACAGCUCUCUCCUGGCACUCCUUUAUCAUCCUGCUGUUCCAUAUUUAAGUUCUAUUAUCUGGAAGUCAUUCUUCUCGGCGAUCAUUUGAAAGAAAGUUGCUUACAAAGGCAUCAAGCAGAGGGGACAACCUGCAUAGAAUCAAAAAUGGGAGAGAGCUCGAAUUCUAGGCUAAAUCACCAGUCUGUCCCUAGAAACUGAGGUGUGCAGAUAAGAAUGCAAACAGAAAACAGAGAGUAAACACACAGGGUGUACAGUGGGUAAUGGAUAUUGAGGGAUGAUCCUGCCAUGCAUGCUAAACAGAUAUUUUUAUGAGUUUAAAUUUAAUUAGCAUCUGGAAAUUAACAAGGCUAGAAAGAAGGGCAAUGUGUUUUUAAGUGAUGACGAUGGAUAGGUACUGUUUGGAGCAUAUAGAUAAAUGGAGAUUUAAUUUGUAAUGCAUAAUGAGCCAGGUGCCUAUAAAACAAUUUGUUUUUUAAGUUGUGAUCACAGAACAAAACAAUGGAACUAUCCAAGGUCAGGCAAUUAUGUCAUGGCUGCCUUUCUUUGGUUAAAUGCUAAAAUCAACUUAGUAAAGUGGAUCUUGAUUUAUAUUGC
rnacentral:lncRNA from 1 species